GACGAACGCUGGCAGCGUGGAUUAGGCAUGCAAGUCGAACGGGAUCCGGAAGGUAGCAAUAUCGGCCGGUGAGAGUGGCGGAAGGGCGAGGAACACGUGGGCAACCUGUCUCUGAGGUGGGGAAAACCGUUGGAAACGACGGCUAAUACCGAAUGUAGCGCCCGCUCGCAUGAGCGGAGCGCCAAAGGGGGCGAAAGCUCCCCCUCUCCGAGGGGCCCGCGCACCAUCAGCUUGUUGGCGGGUAACGGCCCACCAAGGCUCACGGUUAGCUGGUCUGAGAGGAUGGCCAGCCGCACUGGGACUGAGAUACUGCCCAGACUCCUACGGGAGGCUGCAGUCGAGGAUCAUUUGCAAUGGGCGAAAGCCUGACAAUGCGACGCUGCGUGGAAGGAUGAAGGCCCUCGGGUUGUAAACUCCUGUCAUGGGGGAAAAGGAAACCCUGCCCAAUACGCAGGGAAUUUGAUGGUACCCCAAGAGGAAGCGACGGCUAACUCUGUGCCAGCAGCCGC
rnacentral:rRNA from 1 species